rnacentral:misc_RNA from 1 species
AUGACUUUGAAGAAAGUGGACCUCUCCAAGAAGUUUCUGAUUCUGAGUCAGAGAAAGAAGUAACAGACAAAGAACAUGUGUUAGAAUCAAAAAAUAUUACUGUUAACUUGAAUGUCUCCAAUGCUGAAGUUAUGCAUCCACAUAAAUUUCUUCCACAAGACACUACCAACAGUGGGGACAAGAAGGAAGAUUCAUCCAAUAUUGUUGGAAACAGUGUUGCAUCUGUUACACC